GUGCCAGCAGCCGCGGUAAUACGUAGGUGGCAAGCGUUGUCCGGAAUUAUUGGGCGUAAAGCGCGCGCAGGCGGUCCCUUAAGUCUGAUGUGAAAGCCCACGGCUCAACCGUGGAGGGUCAUUGGAAACUGGGGGACUUGAGUGCAGAAGAGGAAAGUGGAAUUCCAUGUGUAGCGGUGAAAUGCGUAGAGAUGUGGAGGAACACCAGUGGCGAAGGCGACUUUCUGGUCUGUAACUGACGCUGAGGCGCGAAAGCGUGGGGAGCAAACAGGAUUAGAUACCCUGGUAGUCC
rnacentral:rRNA from 1 species